rnacentral:rRNA from 1 species
UACAGAGGUCCCAAGCGUUGUUCGGAUUUACUGGGCGUAAAGGGUGCGUAGGUGGUUAGGUAAGUCCGAUGUGAAAUCUCCAGGCUCAACCUGGAAAUGGCAUUGGAUACUAUCUAGCUUGAGGAGUGGAGGGGGGGACUGGAAUUCUCGGUGUAGCAGUGAAAUGCGUAGAUAUCGAGAGGAACACCAGUGGCGAAGGCGAGUCCCUGGACACUUCCUGACAGUGAGGCACGAAAGCUAGGGGAGCAAACAGG